rnacentral:tRNA from 1 species
GAGAGAUGGUCUGAGUGGUUGAUAGCCCSGGUCUUGUCAACUGGUAUAGUUUCUAUCUG